rnacentral:rRNA from 1 species
UACGUAGGGUGCGAGCGUUAAUCGGAAUUACUGGGCGUAAAGCGCGUGUAGGCGGGUCGGCAAGUCAGGCGUGAAAUCCCCAGGCUCAACCUGGGAACUGCGCUUGAAACUGCCGGUCUUGAGUAUCGGAGAGGGUGGCGGAAUUCCUGGUGUAGAGGUGAAAUUCGUAGAUAUCAGGAGGAACACCGGUGGCGAAGGCGGCCACCUGGACGAUAACUGACGCUGAGACGCGAAAGCGUGGGGAGCAAACAGG